rnacentral:rRNA from 1 species
UGAGGAAUAUUGGGCAAUGGACGCAAGUCUGACCCAGCCAUGCCGCGUGCAGGAAUGACGGCCCUAUGGGUUGUAAACUGCUUUUGUACGGGAAGAACCCCCUUUACGUGUAGAGGGCUGACGGUACCGUAUGAAUAAGCAUCGGCUAACUCCGUGCCAGCAGCCGCGGUAAUACGGAGGAUGCAAGCGUUAUCCGGAUUUAUUGGGUUUAAAGGGUGCGCAGGCGGGCAUAUAAGUCAGUGGUGAAAUCUCUCGGCUCAACUGAGAAACUGCCAUUGAUACUGUAUGUCUAGAGUACAGAUGAGGUAGGCGGAAUGUGUCAUGUAGCGGUGAAAUGCUUAGAUAUGACACAGAACACCGAUUGCGAAGGCAGCUUACCAAACUGUUACUGACGCUCAUG